UUGCGGCCAUAUCACGUCGAAACAUUGGUUCUUGUCCGAUCUACCAACGUUAGGCAACUCUGAGCCUGGGCAGUACCUAGAUGGGUGACCGCUCGGGAAUACCAAGUGCUGUAAG